GAGGAAGGCUGCCAGGAGUAGUACUGCAGGCAGCAGGGCUGGUUCCCAAGUCUUGAGCUGAGGGGUGAAGGGUGGGAGAGGUGGUCAUGAGGAUUAUGAACUGACACGUUCAAUCACUUACCACAGCGCCUGGCAGUUAGGGGUUCCUUGGUUGAAUCCACAGAUGUUUGGAUCCAGCCCCUGGAUAUGGAGGGCUGACUUUAAUCUUCCCCCAUCCUUAAGUAUCCUGUGAAGUUAUAAAUGAUGUGUGCCAUGUCUUACACCAGCAACUGUGCCCCCUUGGCCUGGGCACAUGUGGCAACUGUCCAUGCAUCAUGUUGUUUAGGAGUCUUUUUUCCAGAGCUGAUGAUAAGAAGACAGUUUCCUUUGCAGCUUCUUUCACCUGGCAUCUAUUUCACACAGGAGGGAGAGGAGGGAAGGAAAGUGUAAUUCACAGUGAUGUUAUCAGCCAGCACCAUGCCUGGGAGAUCACCAGUGCAGGAGAGGUAUCAAAUGCUCCAGGGGCAAGGUUCUGAGAAGAUGCCCUGCCACUGUAUGAGGCCACAACCUGCUGUGUAUAACCUCAUCUAAGCACAGAGAAGCACCAGGAAGACUGAGCGUGGGAAAUGAUAAAGCAAACUGUGGACUUGAAUGAAAGACAUACAGAAGAAGGUCCUCACCAGACGCCAGCCCCUUGAUCUUGGACUUCCCAGCCUCCAGAACCAUGAGCCAAAUAAACUUCUGUUGGUUACAAAUUA